rnacentral:rRNA from 1 species
UCGUGGCGUGAGUCGUCUGCUUAAUUGCGAUAACGAGCGAGACUCCAAUGACUAAAUACCCGCACUACUGUCUUGUGGUGGCGGGUUCUUAGCCAGAUUUAUGACUUCAAGUCAGAAGAAAUGGAGCAAUAACA